rnacentral:rRNA from 1 species
AGCGAACGCUGGCGGCAGGCCUAACACAUGCAAGUCGAACGGAUCCUUCGGGAUUAGUGGCGGACGGGUGAGUAACACGUGGGAACGUGCCCUUUGGUUCGGAACAACUCAGGGAAACUUGAGCUAAUACCGGAUGUGCCCUUCGGGGGAAAGAUUUAUCGCCAUUGGAGCGGCCCGCGUCUGAUUAGCUAGUUGGUGAGGUAAAGGCUGACCAAGGCGACGAUCAGUAGCUGGUCUGAGAGGAUGAUCAGCCACAUUGGGACUGAGACACGGCCCAAACUCCUACGGGAGGCAGCAGUGGGGAAUCUUGCGAAAUGGGCGAAAGCCUGACGCAGCCAUGCCGCGUGAAUGAUGAAGGUCUUAGGAUUGUAAAAUUCUUUCACCGGGGACGAUAAUGACGGUACCCGGAGAAGAAGCCCCGGCUAACUUCGUGCCAGCCGCCGCAGUAAUAC